rnacentral:rRNA from 1 species
AUUGAACGCUGGCGGCAGGCCUAACACAUGCAUGUCGAACGAGUGGCGGACGGGUGAGUAAUGUCUGGGAAACUGCCUUAUGGAGGGGGAUAACUACUGGAAACUGUAGCUACUACCGCAUACCAUCAUAUGUUCCCAGAUGGGAUUAGCUUUUUGGUGGGGUAACGGCUCACCAAGGCGACGAUCCCUAGCUGGUCUGAGAGGAUGACCAGCCACACGGGAACUGAGACACGGUCCAGACUCCUACGGGAGGCAGCAGUGGGGAAUAUUGCGCAAUGGGGGCAAGCCUGAUGCAGCCAUGCCUCGUGUAUGAAGAAGGCCUUCGGGUUGUAAAGUACUUUCAGCGGGGAGGCGUUACCCACAGAAGAAGCACCGGCUAACUCCGUGCCAGCAGCCGCGUUAAUUC